CGCCACACCACUUCUUGCUUCACAUGAUGGAAACUGGCAGACGCGUAUUCCGGAAGCAGCAAUGGAUGGAUACGGUAGCAGUCCGCCUGUACUACGAGUCGCCGACAUCGUCACCCCUGCUCAGUGCUCACCGGCGUGAUAGUGUCCUCCCUCUCGAUAUACCCGUGUUCGCCCCUUGCCUGCCGAAAAAGAAAAGGCGGUGUGACAAAUGGAGUAGCAAGCAGAACAGUAUACGGUAUACACGAGCUACAGAUUUCAGACUGACCGACCGUGGCUUUCUGGUUUGGUCCUGCAAGGCUGAAACGUAACCUGCUAAUGAAGCAUCAAAACUUAAAAUGCACAUAAAUUAAUUACGUCCAGUAUUUUUGUUACAAGCAUGUGCUAGGUUGGGAGUCUGGAUAUAUUAUCAUAAAUCUUGAAGCAGGUAAAGUUUCAUUCUCAUAAUUCAUUAAUUUGGGUACGGAAGAUGUAAGGUACCGACCCUAGGUGUGAUAACUCAGAAGGUCCAUAGAUGAAGAUAGGCAGGUAUAGUAGUCUAUAGAUGUGUGCAGAUCACAACUGAGAGUGCAUAGAACUCUUAAAUAUUUAUGCCCAGGGAUCAGGGAUGUCUACAGAUUUACUACUGCAGGUAUACGUAGAACUCUCAUAC
rnacentral:lncRNA from 1 species